CAUGAGAAUUUCAAGUUUAUACAAAAGUCUCCUGGGUUUAAAAAGGUUGGAAAGCACUGUAGUAGUGAGAUGGAUUGGUUUUUGAAGAAAAGUGAGAAAAGAAAACCAUUAAGUCCAACUGUCACUCUUCCAACUAAAUAUUGAAACCACUUGGGAAAAAAUUGAGUGAAGUUUAUAGUCAUAAGCAACUUUGGUGUUUUUGAGGUUUGCCUGUGAACCUCCAUUUAGCUCUACCAGAGGCUUCUAGAGAUGCAAUGAAUUGCCAUGUUUUAAGACUUUCAAAUAUGUUAAGUUGCCUGUUCAACUGGACUAACUCAUUAAAAGGUUUCAGUUCAGUUGAUUUGGAGGAUUGUAUGCUGCAUUGUGCUUUGUGGAUACAGAACUCAAGAGACUGGGAUCUCUGGUCUUUCACAGUUAUGGCACACACUGAAAUCUUCAGUAAAGGAAGGAAGAUAGGAGGAGAGCACCAUCAAUUCUUCCUGUUUUAGAGUCCUCAGUCCUAUAUGUCCUAUACCAGGCUGAUAGGAGGACCUGAUAGAAAAAGAGGUCACCGGGAGCAGAGCAAAGGCCAUCUGACAGCCAAAUCCCAUGCUCCAGACAUGUGAAUGAUGCCUUCCUGGACCUUCAAACCCAAGCAGCUUCCUGCAGUCCAUGAGUGGCUCCAACAGAUUCCACAUGUGCAGAAGAACAGCCAAGACAACUCAAAGACUCAUGAGAAAUCAUGAAUUGUUGCAGUUUUAGAAGCCACUAAGCCUUGGGUGAUUUAGUAGGCUUCAACAGAUAAUUAACACAUUGUCAAAGAUUUCAAAAUCACAUGGCUUGGGUUGUGGCUCAGCGGUAGAGCGCUUGCCUCACACGUGUGAGACACUGGGUUCGAUCCUCAG